rnacentral:pre_miRNA from 1 species
UUAAGGAAAUAUUUGUAUGGAAUGGGAUCAUUUGUGUACGUUUGCCGCUAGGGGCGCUGUUCCAACUGCAUACAAAGUUGGGCUA